rnacentral:lncRNA from 1 species
AAAUUUUAAAACGAGGACUUUAAGUGCUAUUAACUGAGUUCUAAAUUCAAUAUUUGUAUAUAUUUAAUGAACUUUUUAACACAAAUAUACUAUUUAAGAAGAGUACUGGAUUCGCCCGAAUCCGAAUACGGGCUUCUAGCUCCUCCCCGAAUAUUAAUGACAUGUAGCUGGGGGCAUAGAGCAUAAUAGGAGUUUUGCCGUACCUGCCAACAUGUUCAGACCUUUGUAAAUACACACUCGAGUAUAUCAAAAUUGCUUAUCAUGACGAUCUACCCUUCAAAAUUCAAACAUAUGCAGAUGGAGGACCUAUGCUUUCAACAAAAAUUCUGAAUAUAUAUAUAUAUAUUCAAUUUUUAUCAAAAAUCUUUAAAAUUAAAAGUCCGAUGAAGGUACUAGAUGAACGGUUUACUAGUGUACCCGGCCACUCUCAAAUCUUAGGUCCGCGCCUGAACAUAUGUGUAUAAAUAUAUGUGCAGAGAUUAGGUGGAGUAAAUUAGCACCUGCUAUGAAAUGUUAUAGUGUUUGAGGAGAGUACACCAUCUUGCAUUAAUAUUAAAGAUGUUUUCUUUGACUUUGGUAAUUUUCAUAAGUAGAGCUCUAGCCAACAUAUUUCAUAGCAGGUACUAAUAUUAUAACUUCUAACUGUAUCUCUUCUAAAAUAAGUUGUCCUUUAGCAAAAAUAAACAUAUAUAAAUGUAAUGGUUAGUAAUGACUAAAUUGAUAAAUAAGUGAGUAAAAGGACUUUUUUUCAAUUUUUAAAAAUUUACUUUCUUGUCUGCAGAACGAAGAAGAUGCCCGAAAAGUGGAGGUGGAGCACGAUGGUUCCUGUAUACAAGAAUAAGGGUGAUAUCCAAGGGUUUAUACUAUGAAAGUCUGGGAGAGUGUGGUAGAGCUAAGGGUAAGGAGGAGUGUAUCUAUUUCUAAGAACCAGUUUGGGUUUAUGCCGGGGUGUUCGACAACAGAAGCCAUCCAACUUGUUAGGAGAUUGAUGGAGCAAUAUAGGGAGAGAAAGAAGAAAUUGCAUAUGGUGUUCAUCGACUUGGAAAAGGCGUACGAUAAAGUUCCGAUUGAGGUUUUGUGGAGAUGUUUGGCGACUAGAGGUGUACCUGCUACCUAAGUUGGGUUGAUUAAGGACAUGUAUGAUGGAGUAAUGAUCUGAGUGAAGAUGGUGGGUGGGGACUCAGACCAUUUUUCAGUGGUAAUAGGGUUGCAUUAGGGGUCGGCACUCAGCCCUUUUUAAUUUGCUCUGGUGAUGGACGAACUGACGUGCCACAUUGAUGUCGCCCAAACUCACACCACAAAUAUAGGUUGUGAGGCAGUCGAAGCAAUAAUAAAAACCUAACGCAAGUCGGGGUUGAAUCCACAGGGAGUUAGAUAUGAGAUUAGGUAUAUGUCUAGACUAGGUGUAUGAUGUGCCCAAGAUUACACUUUCACAUAUUUGGUUGUUUCUUUCUACUUCUAUUAAUUAUGCUAAUGUUUGCAAGUGAAAAGUUAAGAGACAAUAUUUUUGGUUUUGUUGUUUUUCAAGUUGAUAAAAGGUCUAGGGUCGUGACUUCCACCUAGGUGGUUACCUAAUAGGUUGUAAACUCUAGGGCAAGUUUGAUUGGUCGGCAUUGUAAUAUAGCAAUCAUACUCGAUUACUCACUCUAUACCUCUCGGUAGUUUGAAUGAUUUUGCCCAAUUUGGCUUUCUCAAAUCUAAAUGGGUAUUGCACAAAACAAGUGAUAAAUGCUUAAGUCGGGUCUUACUAUCUCUAGAUUCAACCCUUUAAUAGGGGAUAUCUGUCACACCUCCUUUUUACCGAGAGGGCAUAAGGGAGUUUUCCCAACUAAAGUAACAAUAAUCGAAAUGGGAUUGUUUAAUUAUUUCAAAGUCGCCACUUAGAAUAUUUAUGGUGUCCCAAGUCACCGGUUUAUUUUAAAAUUUCAAAUUGAGAAAAUUUGACUCUUAUUUAUGGUCUGCGAACGCAGAAAACCGGGUAAGAAAUUCUAUUAACCCGGAAGAAGGUGUUAGGCAUCCCGAGUUCCGUGGUUUUAGCACAGUCGCUUUUAAUCCUACCUGACUUAAUUAAAUUGUUUAAUUACGUGUUUUAGAACCUAUGUACUUUUAACUUUUUAUCGCUUUUGAUUGGGCGUUUUAUGGAAUUAUCUUGAAACGAGUCACGCGUACAUGUACUCAUUUUGUUUGGUGCGUCAAGAAUCAUGUCACGCGUACGUGUAUACAAUUAAUCAGGCUUUAUUAAUAUUAAGAAAGUUUGGCCGAAGUUGUGCGAACGCAUACCUCGAUUUAUUUUUAGAAUCAUAAUUAUGUCACGCGAACGUGUACACAAUCAGGAUGAUAGAUUAAGUCGCGCCUAAAGAAAGCUACGAAUAUUCAUUUUAGAAACUAUAAUCAUGUCACGUAAACGUGUACAUAAUUACGAUAAUAAAUUCAAAACGCGCCUAAAGGUUUUCCUACCCAUGACGGCCUUAAGCAUGCUACUAGCGGGUGACGUAAUAGAUAAUAAAUGAAUAAACAAAAGAGAACUAACUAAGAGAAAAAUUCAACUCAUACUCCAAUUGAAUUGAUUCUAUUUAACCCAACCCUACGUCCCAUUUUCGGCAAAUUAGACCAAACAAUUAUGGUAUCUAAAUACUCUUAUUCAUACUUGUACUUAACACAUACAAAUAAUCAAGAAGGCAACAUCAUAUCAUUCCAUCAUAACAUAAGAAAAUAAUCAGCACAAAUAGAAGAGAAAGGGACAAGAUGGACCUGAGUAAACUUUCCCUUUCUGAUUUGAUUAAAUUGAUUCCACAAAUAAUGAAGCCCAAUCUACUAUAUGAGAAAACAAACAAGGAUAGCAACUAGAUCGAACAAGACCUCGGCUACAACGAAUGCCUUGACUCGACUCUUUGUGUUUAUAAUGAAAUGUUCGACUUCAAAAACGAAACCAAGCAAUUCACUCGACUCUUUGUGCGGCUGUUUUGUGUAUGCAGAUAGGUUGGAGGUAUUUCCUUUCUUGAACAAGAGCGACAGAAGGGAAUCUAUAGGUGAAGAGUGCUCGGCUGUUAGAAGGAGGUGUGGUUAAGGAUGAGAGACGGCGACGGGGGGAGGGGAGGGGAGGGGCUGGUUUUUGGCGAUAUCAGUGGUGGCUGGCGACAGAGGGGUUAGGAGAUGAGCGGGUGUGUAGGUGUGUGGUUGGCAAGGGUUCUGUCGCUGGCGUUGGAAGGGGUGUGAAAGAGAGAAGGGGGUGGGUGAUGUGGAUAGUGAGGAGGUCCGGCGGAUUUUUUGGCGGAGAUGAGGGGGCGGCAGCGACUCUUCUGGUUCUAAGAGCGACGGCGACUGUUGGCUUUCAAAGAGCGAUGGCGGCUGCUGCUUGGAGAGGAUGACGGCUGGAGCUCUGAAGAAGAAUUAGGAUUUUUUUGUGUGUGUUGUCUUGGUUGAAGAAGAAGAGGGGACGGCUGGGAGGGGUUCUAGGUCUCUAGGCUUCUUUGUUUUGUCUCUUUGAUAAAGAAGAAGCAACGGCUGGGGUCUUCAAGACUAGGGUUGGGAUCUGUUUUUAUUUUUAAGAAGAAGAGUCCAGAAGGGUCUCUAGGGUUAGCUUAGUGGAUAUUGGGUAUUGGGCUUGGAUUUAUGGGCUAAGGGUCCGAAAAUUGGGCCUAAAAUGGGUUGUUUAGGCCCAAAUUUUAUUCUUUCUCAUUG